GUUGGGCACUCUAGUGAGACUGCCGGUGACAAACCGGAGGAAGGUGGGGAUGACGUCAAGUCCUCAUGGCCCUUAUGGGUAGGGCUUCACACGUCAUACAAUGGUCGGUACAGAGGGUUGCCAAGCCGCGAGGUGGAGCCAAUCCCUUAAAGCCGAUCGUAGUCCGGAUCGUAGUCUGCAACUCGACUACGUGAAGUCGGAAUCGCUAGUAAUCGCAGAUCAGCAUGCUGCGGUGAAUACGUUCCCGGGUCUU
rnacentral:rRNA from 1 species